GCCAGGCACGGUGGCGCAUGCCUGUAAUCCCAGCAGCUCAGGAGGCUGAGGCAGGAGGAUCCUGAGUCCAAAACCAGCCUCAGCAACACCAAGGCGCUAAGCAACUCAGUGAGACCCUGUCUCUA
rnacentral:sRNA from 1 species